rnacentral:rRNA from 1 species
GAGUUUGAUCAUGGCUCAGGAUGAACGCUGGCGGCGUGCUUAACACAUGCAAGUCGAACGAACCUUCGGGUUAGUGGCGGACGGGUGAGUAACGCGUGGGAAUCUGCCCUCAGGAGGGGGAUAACGGUUGGAAACGACCGCUAAUACCCCAUAUGCCGAGAGGUGAAAUGAAUUUCGCCUGAGGAUGAGCCCGCGUCUGAUUAGCUUGUUGGUGAGGUAAUGGCUCACCAAGGCUUCGAUCAGUGGCUGGUCUGAGAGGAUGAUCAGCCACACUGGGACUGAGACACGGCCCAGACUCCUACGGGAGGCAGCAGUGGGGAAUUUUCCGCAAUGGGCGAAAGCCUGACGGAGCAACGCCGCGUGAGGGAUGAAGGCCUCUGGGCUGUAAACCUCUUUUCUCAAGGAAGAAGAUAUGACGGUACUUGAGGAAUAAGCCACGGCUAAUUCCGUGCCAGCAGCCGCGGUAAUACGGGAGUGGCAAGCGUUAUCCGGAAUUAUAGGGCGUAAAGCGUCCGCAGGCGGCCUUUCAAGUCUGCUGUUAAAACGUGGAGCUCAACUCCAUCAUGGCAGUGGAAACUGAUCGGCUUGAGUAUGGUAGGGGCAGAGGGAAUUCCCGGUGUAGCGGUGAAAUGCGUAGAUAUCGGGAAGAACACCAGUGGCGAAGGCGCUCUGCUGGGCCAUUACUGACGCUCAUGGACGAAAGCCAGGGGAGCGAAAGGGAUUAGAUACCCCUGUAGUCCUGGCCGUAAACGAUGAACACUAGGUGUCGGGGGAAUCGACCCCUUCGGUGUCGUAGCCAACGCGUUAAGUGUUCCGCCUGGGGAGUACGCACGCAAGUGUGAAACUCAAAGGAAUUGACGGGGGCCCGCACAAGCGGUGGAGUAUGUGGUUUAAUUCGAUGCAACGCGAAGAACCUUACCAGGACUUGACAUCCUGCGAACCUUUAAGAAAUUAGAGGUUGCCUUCGGGAACGCAGUGACAGGUGGUGCAUGGCUGUCGUCAGCUCGUGUCGUGAGAUGUUGGGUUAAGUCCCGCAACGAGCGCAACCCACGUUUUUAGUUGCCAGCAUUUAGUUGGGCACUCUAGAAAGACCGCCGGUGAUAAACCGGAGGAAGGUGUGGAUGACGUCAAGUCAUCAUGCCCCUUACAUCCUGGGCUACACACGUACUACAAUGCUACGGACAAAGGGCAGCAAACUCGCGAGAGCUAGCAAAUCCCAUAAACCGUGGCUCAGUUCAGAUCGUAGGCUGCAACUCGCCUACGUGAAGUAGGAAUCGCUAGUAAUCGCAGGUCAGCAUACUGCGGUGAAUACGUUCCCGGGCCUUGUACACACCGCCCGUCACACCAUGGAAGUUGGCCAUGCCCGAAGUCGUUACUUUAACCCUUGUGGAGAAGGCCGCCGAAGGUGGGGCUGAUGACUGGGGUGAAGUCGUAACAAGGUAACC